rnacentral:ncRNA from 1 species
CUUAUCAAGAGAGGUGGAGGGAAAGGCCCUAUGAAACCCAGCAACCAAUAUGAUAUAUAUGGUGCUAAAUCCUACAGUAUGAGCUGAAAGAUAAGA